AAUCCUCUCUCCACCCACUACUAACUAAACUUUUAAACUAGGAGGAGGCGAACAGCUUAAAGCUUUCCUCAGUGCAACGGAAAAGUGAAUCCAGGGUGCGGUGAGUUGCCAAGAGCCAGCUGCCUGCUCUAGACAAUUACAGGAGUUUUGUGGAUAUGCUACUCAGAGUUCAGCAAAAUGGACUAUUGCUCAGUGCAGAAACUUGUUUCAGGCUGACAGGCAAAUAAGCCAUAUCACAUAAAGGGCCUCUAUGUGGCAUCUCUGAGCUGUAAGCUCCGGACAGCCUUGGGGGAAAAAAGUGCAGUGGAGCAAGACAAAAAUUACCACAAACUUCAGGCAACUGUUGCUUUCUUUCUGAUGGAUUUCUGGGACUUCUACAUGCCAAGCCAUAACUCUACAGAGAAUAUUGGUAUAAGGAUCUCAGAUUGACAAUCUCAAAAAACUGUUUACCCUGGAUGGACAGAGAGAGAGAGAAACAGUGACAAUCUAAUAUUGCUUAAUAUUAGCUCUGGGAUUGAAGUUAGAAGAUUUAUUUUCUAUGACUGGAAGCUGCUUUGGUCAGGCUCCCAACCAUCUCAGAGCCAAACAUUCCAAAACAAUUGUUUUCCAUUCCUGCCUGCCAUCCCCAAAGUAUUUGGAGGGAGGACAUGGACAAAGAGUAAAUGUAUUUAGUUUUCCUUAGCCAAUUCACAAACCACAAAUAUUCUCCCCAGCCAAAAUCUGGAAGAUAUUUUCAAAGACACAAGGAUUCCGAAGGGCACUGAAAAUUCUAAGAGCUGCUGACCAGGCAGUGCUUCCUAUCUAAAGCCAAACAGAUGUCAAGAAGAGAAGAGAAGAGAAGAGAAGAGAAGAGAAGAGAAGAGUUUAAUCAGAUUUGUCCUGCUAGAGGAUACUAUUUGCCAGGAGUAAGCUGCAUUGUAUAGUAUAAAAGUUUGUGAACUGACAUGGGUUCACUUUGGGGAAAUCAUCAAACCCUGGAGGUGACCUAAUUCCAAUUUAUUUCUACAAAGCAAUUCAGGAGGCUUCAAAUUCCUUCAGACCAUUGCUUUCACAUUUCUCUGUAGGACAAGCACAAAUGCUUUAACACUGGAUAUAUUUCAGAUUGCUUGCAGUCUUCCCAAGCCUGGAAGAACUUCAACAUACACAAAGUACCUCCAAGGGUGGGAACUUUAAUUGAACACUGUAGUUAUCCUGUUUGGCCCUAUCGUAUCUUUGGAAAGGAAAGGAUCACCAAGGCACUACUUUCUUCUGUCCUUUAAUUAGUAAUUGGGAACAACAUAAAAGGAUUAUUUUGCUCUUCUGUAUUUUCAGGUUAAUUCAGUUUUGCAAAUAGAAUUCUUUGUUGGCAACUUUUUCUUCAAGCAACAUAUAUAAUUUGUACUUGGAAUUCACCUGAUGAACAACAGAAUCAAAUUAACUACUUACCAGGAAACAGAAGCCAAAAAGAGCAAUCCAAUCAUCCAGAACACUUCCCAGUACAAACCAUGGAGCAGCUUAUGAAUUGUUGGUAUUAUGUAUGUGGGAUAAACUUAGAAAAUUAAAAAAAUUAAAUUUGAGUUUGUGGAUAGUUAGCAUAUAAUACAAUAUUAUUAACAGAUUUAGUAGGCUUAACAUGCAAAAAUGAAUCAGAGGUGGUAUAGAAAGAUCCAAGAAUUAAAAAAAAACAAAGUAGAAACAUAUUUCCAAAAUCUCAGAGUGGAAAAGAUACAAGUGGAUUUCAGAAAUACCUAUGAUAGCUAAGGAAAAGCUUUUAUUGUGGAAAUCAGGCCAGAUUGUGGAUUAUAUUAAGAAUAAUGGGGUGCCAAGAAAGGAAUCUUCACAAAAACAAGAAGCUACUAUAAAAACUAAACCUGGAAAACCACGUGGGGAAGGAUGGGAAUUAAGGAUGAAUAUUGUUUUCCUAUAUACAGCAAAUCUAGCAAAUUUUAAACAUGAUUCAUCCCUGAAAGACAACAUGAAGAAAGGAUGCAGAAUCUGGCAGAUCUGAAUCCAAGGAAUUCAAGGCAGACCUGAAUCCAUGGUUAUAGCAUUAGUGGCAACAUGUAACUCUGUUUCUGCCCUUGCUCCUGUAAAUCUCAACAGUGAUAUUAUGUCCAUAAGGUCGUCACCAUCUUUACAUCAAACACUAAAGGGCAAAGGUGCAGACUGAGAGUUUCUAGAAUAAAAGCCUCUACCUGAGAUCAGUCAAGCUUUGGAACAUCUUCCAUGGACCAGGACCAUUUGUAAAUCUAUGUCUAUAUCAGUUUCAAAUUUUGUCUUCUUUCUCAGAAAGCUCAACUAUUUACCUGGUCCUGACAAUCCUUUUUGCUCUACUUAUUGAAAAUCAUUGCUUUUAACAGAGGUUCUCAACCUGUGGGUUGGGACCCCAUUUGGGGUCGAAUGACCAUUUCACGGGGGUCACCAAACAACGCAGUCCGCCAUUUUUUUCC